UACGUAGGGUGCAAGCGUUGUCCGGAUUUAUUGGGCGUAAAGAGCUCGUAGGCGGUCUGUCGCGUCGGAUGUGAAAACCCAGGGCUCAACCCUGGGCCUGCAUUCGAUACGGGCAGACUAGAGUACGGCAGGGGAGACUGGAAUUCCUGGUGUAGCGGUGGAAUGCGCAGAUAUCAGGAGGAACACCAAUAGCGAAGGCAGCUCGCUGGGACGUUACUGACACUGAGGCGCGAAAGCGUGUGGAGCGAACAGG
rnacentral:rRNA from 1 species